GUAUCAAUAACAUGUUCUUGAGGCUUUAAAAAGUGGUCUGAUAUUUGGAAGCUUUGAUUCUGAUUUUGAUAAGAAGG